CGUAUUGGCCUCGUAAGUCACCAACGUGCCUGUAACAAACGUGGAUAGAGCCUUCCUAAAUCUUCGUUCGCGAAGCCCAGCCAUGUUGUUGUUGUUCAAACACAACCUUGUCAA